ACGUCAUCACAAAAAGAGUAUAAAAGGCGUCAAGAACGCGACGCUCACCACUGACGGCGGAAGCCACGUUGCUCUGGUCCACUUGCUGCGGCGGCGGCGGCGGUACAACAGCUUUUAAAAGUGACAAGUUGCACUUUGGGCGUGCUUCCAUCGUGCAAGCGCAAAGGUUUGCAGAAGCUAGCGUUAGCAGUUAACAUCUUCAACGACCACCAAAACGCGUUAUUCGGCGUCCACAAACAAUUGAAUCAUGUAACGGUGGUGCAAACCCUCAAAACAAGCCUGUCAUGGCCGACUGACUUGAGUUUUAAAGUCAACUCUUUCGAUCGAGCGCUUCUAAUUGUCUUCUCAUUUCUGUCCCCAGGCAGGCCUGCAUCUGGAACCGAGGGAACAGGGUCCAAAAUGGCCACCUUGCAGUCCUCUCAUGGAUUCAUGAGACACUUGCAGAGCAGCGAGCUGGAGCUGUGGUUGCAGAGACGUCCGGUGCUGCCCUCCAUUCCUCACUGGUGAAACGCGCACGCGUCCAAACGUUUGACACAUGUCAAACAUUUCAGCAUGUUUUUCCCCCUUUUGUCCACUAGGUGGGACCAAAGGACCUGUUUCUGUAGCAUGGUGAAGAUCUACAUGGUUUUAAUCUUGUGGCGUCAUCAACCUCUUGUCCAGGUGACUAUAAACUUGGCAUUGUUUAAAAGCACUUACCUGCCUCCCUCUUCCUGCAGAGCCCUUUCCAGUAAGGAUGCAGUUGGAACGUCUGCUACCUGCUGGCCAAAAAUAAAAUCCCUCCAAAACCAUGCAGAGGUGUCCAUCCUGGAGAAUUUUUACAACAUUUCCGAAACUCUCGCUGUGCACCAGCGACUGGCUGCUUCCACGCUACAGCAGAGGUGGCAAAUCCAGGUCCAGAAAGUGAAAAGCCUGCCACAGUUUGUCUUCAGCCUCUGACCUCGUUCACCUGGGUCUGUGCUGCCUCAAGAGCCCUCCGCUGUGUGGAUCACCAUGGUCGUAGGGGAAGCUGAGGACAAGAGCAAAGGCGCAUACCAGCAGCACUUUGUUGAUUUUGCUUACUCGGCUCAAAGGCAACCUGAGAAGAAGCAAGGGACAACCUCGACGCCCUGGGUCAUGCAGCUUGCAGUACUCUGUGCCAUAAACAACUCUACUUGCGCACUGGUCCAGGCAUGGAGUCCCACGGGCUGACCACUCGUCCCACUGGCUGACCAUUCCACCACUUGGCAAUGAGCAGACUGCCAUUCAACUUGUUACUUUGUUGUGAUUUAUUUACUCUGCAAAAGAAAUAAAGCUUUAUUACAAAUAAUGCAA